AAUGUUAUGCCUGAAAAAGGAAUAAAUUGUAAAUUUAUUUAUGAAAUUUAUAUUUCUAACAUUA
rnacentral:tRNA from 1 species